rnacentral:rRNA from 1 species
UACAGAGGUCUCAACCGUUGUUCGGAUUCAUUGGGCGUAAAGGGGGCGUAGGCGGCGGGGUAAGUCAGGUGUGAAAUCUCGGGGCUCAACCCCGAAACUGCACUUGAUACUGCCUCGCUCGAGUACUGGAGAGGAGACUGGAAUUUACGGUGUAGCAGUGAAAUGCGUAGAUAUCGUAAGGAAGACCAGUGGCGAAGGCGAGUCUCUGGACAGUUACUGACGCUGAGGCACGAAGGCCAGGGGAGCAAACGGG